rnacentral:lncRNA from 1 species
CCAAUUCAUUAUCCCCAAAAACCUUCAUAGGUAUACACAAAUGACAUAAAUAUCUACAAAAGUUGCACAAAAGGGAUACAAUCUUUAGGGAAAGGAAAAAUAACAUGAGAAAAAGAAUAAUGUCCCGCGCAUUGGAUAAGAAAUACUAGUUCUUGAAUACUCUUCUAUCAGCCUUCGCCCUCUUAGCUUUAUCCACUUCUUGUCAUUGGCGAGAUUCGUUGAUGAUCAAGCAAUUUCUGUAUAGCUGUGCCCUAGAUGCAACCGUUCAAAUCGAUCAAUUUCUUACUUGGCUUGCUUUAUUUCUUCUCUUAAUUGGUGUAUGAUUGAGGCUCCUUACACGAAAGUAAGCAAAUCAAGCAUUCGCCCGACCCCCAAAGGAUAAUGGAUUGGAUUAAAUAAAUAGAUAUUUAUUCAACACAUAAAUAUGAUUCAUCUGUAAUUGACUCAGGGUCAAUAAACGUCGGGCAGGUUUUCAAAUGGGCCCAAUAUCCCCUCGGGUAUUGGGUCAUUCUAGGAUCGUACCUAAAAUAGAAUUUUGGUUUCGCUCUAUCCUAGGUGUCUAGAGUGGAUUUGAACCAAGUUCCUAAGCGGACAACUUGGACUUGGAAAUACGAACAACCAUCAGAUGUCUCACGUGCUAAUAAACUAUUGUAUUUGCAACACUUUAUUUGGAGUUGAACAGCAGGGGCCGGGACAUCCAUGAAACCCCAAAACAAUUUAAUAAUUCAUGGGGGAUUAUGCAAUGAGAUGCAAUAAUUAAAUUACGUAAAAUCAAAACAUAUAAAUACGUAAGAAAUUUAAACAAUUAGUCAAAAAAUGAAAUCAAACUUUGGUUAGAUCCUAGUUAAAUUCCCCAGUGGAGUCUUCAUUUCUGUUUUACAAAAAUUUUGAUUUUUGAAAGUCGCCACUUAAUUUAUUUGAAAAGGAAUUAAGACAACCUUUAUAAAGUACUUGAACGAUUCAAAACAAGAAAAUAGUCCAAGUUAGAGAUUCUAGGUAAGCGAUUCCUAUUAACAUUCUAGGAAGUUUUUAAGGCACCUAAAACGUCCACUAACUUGCGAUUAUCCGAACUGCUUGAAAGUAUCUUUUGACUAACUUCAAAAAGAUUGAUUGUUGAAAUAUGAUUGAUUUUAGGAAAAGACUUGUGUAAAAUAGAUUUGGACGACUUAGUAGGGAUUUUAACUAAGUCUAAAUAAACUAACAACAAAGCAUGAAAAAGGAAAAGGAAAAAAUUAAAAGACUUAUGCCAUUGGACCCAAACCAAUAAGUCCUAUCCUAAUAUAAUUGGGAUUUUGGCCCACUUGCACCUUUCCUAAUCUAAAUGUUGGGCCUUGGCCCGUAACCUGUCCUAAACUAUUUUUCUAACCCGUUGGCCUAAAAUCUGCUCCACCUGUAUUAAAUGUACAACUUUGGCUUCGAGGCCCAAAUGAAUGAAUAAUGCAAUGAAGAAAUAAGUAAAUAAUAAUAAAAGGACAACAAUAAAUGAAGAAAAAUAAGACUUUCGAGUCUCUUUACCACUUUAAAGAUGGAACUUUAACCCAUUUUUCUUCUUUCGACUUCUGGUAUUCAUAUGCCAUGAGAUUACAUUUUUGGGCCUUCGAAGUUGACUCAGGAUGGAUGAGCCUCAUUGGCCAACAUCGAUAAUGCCACAACGGGAUAGAGUCCAUUUGGACUCGAAUGCGGGUUUGUGCGAAGAAAAGGUACAAAUAUUUAAUACAUGCAUGUAUAUACAUAUGAUAAAUUAGCAACUAAUCAUGUUGAAAAUUUUAUGAUAUUAUAAAAUAUACUCACACACAAAUUAAAAAUAAAAACAAUGAUUCAUGAAAAAAAAGAUAAAGGUAAAAAUAGCAAAUUCUCAUGAUUUCGAGUAACUGAAGUUAAGCAAUAUUAUUUUAAGGCUACAUCAAAAUUUGGUAGAGUAAGGACAUGAAUUGGACACCUAAAAAUAUUAGUGAAUAAACAAGGGAGAGGGGUAGUUAACAAGUGAGAACACAAGCAAACAAAGAACAAGUAAAUUUGUAUGCCAAAAGAAUCUCAUAUCAUAAGAGUUAUUACCUUGAACAAACACGCAAUGGAUUAACUGUAGGUUAAUAAAACUUGAACAAAACCAUGAAUUUCAAUCACAACAAAUAAUAUUUAUACUACUAAUCCGAUGGGCGAAAGGACUACAAUAUGUUGUCUUGUGUUCUAUAUGAUCACCAAAGUAAAAAUUCAAUGAAAAGAAUCAACAAAAAAGCUGCAUUAGUCAAGAAGGUUUUCAAACUUUCUAUCCAAACUUUCAAUUAAGCGUUAAGAUUACACCAAAAUGGAACUUAUCAAACAAAAAGAACUGGUGAUAAUAAACAAAACUUAAGAUGUCUGAAUGAAAAUAAUUAGUUAAAUUUUGAUCCCAUCAAGAAACUAAAACUAAAAUCAGUAGUUGAUACGUGAAAACCAAAGAGGAAUAAAACCACAGAAUCUUUUAAAUAAUCAGGAUUAAGUAUUAAGAAAAGGAUCCAUUUAUAUGAAAACAAUAUUCAGAUAAAAUUUAAGACUACACAAGAUAUCGAAAUGUAUUAUUUUCCUUUUAUACAGCUAGGCUACAAGAACAUCAACACACUCAAACCAGGACCUCAAAAACAUUAUUACGAAGCCAAGAGAAUGUUAACAACAUUCAACGUCAAGAGAAAACAAAACAAUUAUGAGUGAAACAAAUCAAGAACAUACUAUGCAGAAUUUAGUCAAGAUGUAAUUUUUCAACCAAGUAGUUAAACAAAUCGUGAUAUAGAGCUCGAGUCAAUCAAUUUUCGAUCAAUAAGAUAUUUUACAUUCGAGCAGGACAAGACGAGGAAGAAAUCAUUUUUAAGAUUUUAUACUUUAGCAAGAUAAACAACACGAAAAGAUUCACUAAAAACACACAACGAGACAUAUUUUACAGCAACUUACAAACAACACAAAAAGAGAUUAUAACUAUACGAUUAUCGCAGCAAGAAUAUCAUCGCAACUAUACCUAUGGCCUUCGAGGCCUCUACAGCAAGCAAUCCCAGCAUACAACAACUAUGAUUACUAAACUAUAGAGAAAGGAUUAAGAAGAAAACAAUGGCGAAUUAAAAGUAAAGGAGUUUACCUUGUUCGAGGCAACAAAAUUGUACUCGAGCUGUUAUCGAAAUCUCCUCGCCACCACCGAAAGCCAAGAUUAAAUCCAAAACUAACUAAGAGAAAUUUCAAUUGUAAUUUCCUUUUCCUCGAAUAUUUUGAAGUUUAUUCCUCAAAGGCCCUUUUUCUUUUUUUUUUCUCCUUCCUCCUCCUUUUCAAUGAAAACAGCAAGAAUAUCUAUAGGUAAAGCUUUAGGAUCCAGUUUUUAUUCCUUUCGAGGUGGGAUGGGAAAAUGGAUAGAAAUUCGAGGAGAGGAUUUCAAAAUUUCAAAAUAGGAUUAAUAUCCACCAUCCACCUAUGUACGAAUCGGACAAUGGUAAGAUAUUAUACCAUUGAGAGAGACAGUUGGACAAUUUCUAGGCUCUUCUAGAAGCGGACAGCUCAUCAAUCGCACAUAAAUGAUGAUUUUAGGACUGCAUCGGUUGUCAAUGCAUGAUGUUAUGUUUAUCAUGGGUUCAGGUCGGCAGGUCUGGUGCGGGUCACCGUUUAUGGUGGGCGUUGGAACUAGUCAGUUCGGAGAUUACUGGUUGAAAUUGUCGUUAUU